AGCCUUUAGAGAGGAUUAAAGGUUAUACCUGCCCAAUGUUAUAUUAAUGGCCGCGGUACUUUGACCGUGCUAAGGUAGCACAAUCAAUUGGCCCUUAAUUAGGGUCAGGCAUGAAUGGAGUUACGGGGCUUAGCUGUCUCUAAACUAUUUAAUUGAAGUUGCUGUAUAGGUGAAAAAGCCUAUAUUAAGAAAAAAGACGAGAAGACCCUUAGAGUUUUACUUAAAAAAGAGUAUUAUUUCUUUACUAGUUUUGUUGGGGCAACAUAGGAGAAGAAUUAAACCUCCUAAAAGAUAUAAACCGAUGUUUUUAAAUAUGGACAAACUACCUUAGGGAUAACAGCAUAAUUUUAAAAGUAAGUUUGUGACCUCGAUGUUGGACUAGGGAACUUAAGGGCUAGCCGCCUUUUGGUAAGGUUCUGUUCGAACUAUAAUUCCU
rnacentral:rRNA from 1 species